rnacentral:rRNA from 1 species
UACAGAGGUCUCAAGCGUUGUUCGGAUUCAUUGGGCGUAAAGGGUGCGUAGGCGGCGUGGUAAGUCGGGUGUGAAAUCUCGGAGCUUAACUCCGAAACUGCAUUCGAUACUGCCGUGCUUGAGGACUGGAGAGGAGACUGGAAUUUACGGUGUAGCGGUGAAAUGCGUAGAUAUCGUAAGGAAGACCAGUGGCGAAGGCGGGUCUCUGGACAGUUCCUGACGCUGAGACGCGAAAGCGUGGGGAGCGAACAGG